rnacentral:lncRNA from 1 species
AGAAGUGCCCACAUCCGGCCAAAUGGGGGCUCACCAGCUGCCCGUGGACGGAGUGGGAGGAGGCCCCCAGUCUCCAGGAGGCUCCAUGCCUCAGGCUCAGACCGGCAGCUCGGGAACCCAGCUAGCAGGAUGAACUCCAGCAGAGGAACUCAGCGCCAUUGCUGCGGCUGUGGGCCAGAAGAGAAAGAGAAAGAGAAAGAGAAUCCGCCUCGGUGUGACAAGCUGUGCCUCAGAACCCGAGCAGCAGGAGAGUGGGCAGCAGGGGGUGUCUGGCAGCAGAGAGGGGCUCAGGCCUGCUGGGUGGAGCGGCGCUGGGGGACACAGAGCCUGGUGGUAGGGAGACCUCCGGAUGGAGACAGCCCACAGUCCCGGAGCCCCAAGGCAGGCACCAGUGAGUCCCUCGUGACGGCCUCGCUCCCUGCAUCACAUGGAACCUCGUGACCCACGUGACGACGCCAGUGCCCCCGUGGCCCCUUCCUGCUGCUGGACGUGAUGCAGUCAAUGGAAGCCCAGCGUGGGCUCUCCCGGCACCAGCACCGCCAGGCCCUGUGCAGGACCCCAGGGUCAUCAGGAAGGAAAUGAGGCAGCCCAAGGAGGCGGGAGACGGGGCCCUACCCAGCACCCAGCCAUCUGCAUUGACACGGCUGCCCGCAGGAUAUCACUGCCCCCAUCCCGGGGCCCACCAUUACCAGCAGGGAGAGGGAGGCAGAGGGAAGCUGGGGUCCACCGCUGGUGAGCGGGGAGGGGACGGGACACAGAACCGGCCGUGGCCCACCCCGAGACGGAGGCGCAGACACCAGGCCCGUUCUGUGCUCUGGAGGCUUUGGGCAGCUGUCAGGCUAGUGGACGGUGUGCAGAGCAGAUGGAGGCGUGAGGAGGCGGCUCCGGGGUCACCUAGGUUCAGCAGGGACAGAGCUCAGGGGGAAGGCACCUCCCGUCCUGGUUCAAUACAUGGACCCCUGACCCUGGGAAAGGGACUGAGCCAGGGGAGGCCUCAGGUCACUGCACCAUGAAGUUGUGGGGAGCUGCGGGGGCCUCUGGGCUCCGAGCUGGGCAGGCACAGCGUGGGGACCACGUGCCGAGGGGAAGAAGCGUGCCAGGGUGGACGUCUCAGUGCACACGCAGGAACAUGCAACGGCUGAGCCAGCCCAGAGAGGCAGCGGAGCGUGUGCGGGGCGGCCGGCGGAGGAGCAGCAGGAUCCCAGGCGGGAGCGCACGGCCUUUUCGGAGGCAGGUUCCAGGACAAUACUAAGCGUUUACAUCAUUGCACUAUUUGAUCCAGGAGGUCCCACUGUGGCGUUUCAUCGAUAAACGCACAUGCGAGGUGGAGGGUGGCUGGUGUGGAAUGUGCCCGGCAGCCUUCAUAGCAAAGGAGAAUUCUAGAACCAACCGAAGUGCCCCUCUGAAGGGAGCUGGUCCCGUCCGUUCCAGCCGCCGUGGAGUAACACAGCCAGCAGUUUCCCUCCUGCCACGAAAGCUCGAGACUGAAACUCAGGAUGAACUGUUUUCAGCCCGGGUCACCCCAGCCCUGGGGUGGAGGCCCAUUGAGGAUGGCCGAGCAGGGGCGGGCAUCCAGGCAGGUCCAGCAGUCCUGGCGGGCUGAGGAGAAGGAGGUCAGUGCUCAGGGAGACAUCCGCAGAGGGACCUGGCAGGCAGAGCUCCAGAAGGGAGGGAACUGCACAGACAGAAAGCUCCAGAAGGCUGCCUGAGGGCCUCUGAGGCCUCCGGAGUCAGGCGCCAUGGAUGUGGAAGGUGGACUCUUCAGCAUGGAUGGGACCCUAGGGGGCUGUGGACCCCCGGCCCCUGGGACUCACAGGUGGGAGACAGGAGUUCCAACCGCCAGGGGGAGAGUCCUGGAGGAUCCUGGGCUGUUGGCAGCCACCCAGCAGGGCCCGUCCUGGGAGUGGGGCUGGACUCUUCCUGCAGGAAAGGCUGGGCUGGACCUGCUCUGAGAGGCUUCAGAACCAGCCACACGAAGACCAAAGUGAAGAGCAAGGAGCUGAACUCCACGCAGAACACAGCGCAGCGUCCUUUAAAGGAAGGCCAAAAACAACCCAACAAAAAUGCCAGGUGAUCAAAGCGGUCACAGCACAAUGUCCACAUCCAACGAGAAAUUGCUACUACGUCCAGACGCAGGGAAAGGUGGCCGUGGGAACGUGAGUCAGCAGCAACAGGCCCAGAAGGGCAGCCACGGUGGACUUGUCAGACGUGGACCCUGAAAUGACAAUCACAGCAUGAUUUCAGGCAGGAGCCUGAAAUGGUACAGCUUUGGACAUCGGUUUGGCAAAUUCUUUUAGAGAGAAACACACACCUUCCCUAGGACCCAGCAACUCCACUCCUAAUAACCAAGUGAAAUGGAAGGAGUUGUCCUCAGCAAAACGUGUGUGCGGAAGUUCACAGUCACUUUCUCGGUGAUAACCAAGAGCUGGAAACCACUGCAACACCCACCAGCAGGUGAACGGAUUAACACACUGGGCUAGGGCCACACAAUGAGAUGCUCCGUGGCAACACAAAAUGAACCGUGGACACACACUGCACGGCGGAUGAAUAUGCAGACAUCAGGCCACGUGAAGGGAGCCAGGCCCCGAGGCGCCACGCUUUGUGAUUCAGGGUGGUCCCUCUGCGCCCAAGACCCGGCUGCCUCCUCCUCUUCCUGGCUGCAGGGAGUGCUUGUGUCUGAAGAACGCCAGGCUGGUGUCCCCAGAGGGCGGCUGGAGGGGCUCAGAAACCAUUUUCACCUUCUGUCUCCUCCAUGUCUGCACUGUUUGGGAAAGAAAGCACGCAGCCAAAGAGCGCAAAGAGGCUCAGAGGAGGCCCGGGUGCCCUGGAGAGACGCUGCGUCCUGACGACACAGCAUCCCUGUCCCGCAGCGGAGAUUUCCCAGAUGAAGGAUUCCCCGGCGGGAGACAGGGCCCUGCACACAGGUCCUCUGCCACGCUGCUCACCAUGCCUGUGUGUUAUCUCCCCAUGAAAAGUCACCUAGGCCGAGCAUGGUGGCUCACGCCUGUAAUCCCAGCACUUUGGGAGGUGGAGGCGUGCGGAUCAUCUGAGAUCAGGAGUUUGAGACCAUCCUGAGUAACAUGGUGAAACCCCGUCUCUAGGAAGAAUACAAAAAUUAACUGGGCAUGGUGUCAGGUGCCUUGUAAUCCCAGCUACUCGGGAGGCUGAGGCGGGAGAAUCGCUUGAACCUGGGUGGCGGAGGUUGCAGUCACAGCGUUUGCAGCGAAGCGGCUCCCAGAGCUGGGAGGAAAGCCCCGCCUGCAGCCAA